rnacentral:rRNA from 1 species
CCUACGGGUGGCAGCAGUGGGGAAUAUUGCGCAAUGGGCGAAAGCCUGACGCAGCCACGCCGCGUGAGUGAUGAAGGCCUUCGGGUUGUAAAGCUCUGUCGGGAGGGACGAAGGGGAAACCCUGACGGUACCUCGCAAGAAAGCACCGGCUAACUCUGUGCCAGCAGCCGCGGUAAUACAGAGGGUGCAAGCGUUGCUCGGAUUUACUGGGCGUAAAGCGUACGCAGACGGCAUCAAAGGUCGGGUGUGAAAGCCCGGGGCUCAACCCCGGAAUUGCAUCCGAAACCGUGAAGCUAGAGUAUGGGAGAGGGAAGCGGAAUUCCUGGUGUAGAGGUGAAAUUCGUAGAUAUCAGGAGGAACAUCUGUGGCGAAGGCGGCUUCCUGGCCCAUUACUGACGUUCAGGUACGAAAGCGUGGGUAGCAAACAGGAUUAGAUACCCCAGUAGUC